rnacentral:misc_RNA from 1 species
UGGAGGUACACUCUCUCAUUACAUCAAUU